rnacentral:rRNA from 1 species
GUGGGGAAUCUUGCACAAUGGGGGAAACCCUGAUGCAGCGACGCCGCGUGAGUGAUGAAGCCCUUCGGGGUGUAAAGCUCUUUCGGCAGGAACGAUAAUGACGGUACCUGCAGAAGCAGCUGCGGCUAACUACGUGCCAGCAGCCGCGGUAAUACGUAGGCAGCAAGCGUUGUUCGGAAUUACUGGGCGUAAAGAGUGUGUAGGUGGUUGGGUAAGUUUGGUGUGAAAUCUCCCGGCUUAACUGGGAGGGUGCGCUAAAGACUGCCUGGCUUGAGUGCGGGAGAGGGAAGCGGAAUGCCUGGUGUAGCGGUGAAAUGCGUAGAUAUCAGGCGGAACACCGGCGGUGUAGACGGCUUCCUGGACCGCAACUGACACUGAGACACGAAAGCGUGGGUAGCAAACAGGAUUAGAAACCCUUGUAGUCC